ACUAUCACAAGUAGGCUAACGUAUGUAAAUCCACUAUUAGGUGUUGAACAAGACAAAACUAGCCCUAGGAUAGCAAGAUCUCCCUAUAGAGAGCGACUAAGAUAAAUUCACCUAAGGUAAUGACAACUAAUGCAAGUUUCUUCCUAUACUCAAGUGGCCACAAUCUCAUCAUGAGUUAUCUAACUGAGUUAUUUCCAUCCUAAAUAAGAUUCUACAAGAUCAAAUUCACCUAAUUUAGGAAUAGCUAGGCUAAUUAUGCCAUAAAAAUAUCCAACAUGGCCUAAAUGGU
rnacentral:lncRNA from 1 species